rnacentral:misc_RNA from 1 species
GACGAACCGUGCAAAUGUUGUUCGGAAUCACUGGGCUUAAAGGGCGCGUAGGCGGUCGGCAAAGUCAGCGGUGAAAGCCUCCGGCUUAACCGGAGAAGUGCCGUUGAUACUGGUCGACUCGAGGGAGGUAGGGGCAGAUGGAACUUCCAGUGGAGCGGUGAAAUGUGUUGAUAUUGGAAGGAACGCCGGUGGCGAAAGCGAUCUGCUGGCCCUCUUCUGACGCUGAGGCGCGAAAGCCAGGGUAGCGAACGGG